rnacentral:rRNA from 1 species
AGUGAACGCUGGCGGUAGGCCUAACACAUGCAAGUCGAACGGCAGCACAGUAAGAGCUUGCUCUUACGGGUGGCGAGUGGCGGACGGGUGAGGAAUACAUCGGAAUCUACUUUUUCGUGGGGGAUAACGUAGGGAAACUUACGCUAAUACCGCACACGACCUACGGGUGAAAGCAGGGGAUCUUCGGACCUUGCGCGAUUGAAUGAGCCGAUGCCGGAUUAGCUAGUUGGCGGGGUAAAGGCCCACCAAGGCGACGAUCCGUAGCUGGUCUGAGAGGAUGAUCAGCCACACUGGAACUGAGACACGGUCCAGACUCCUACGGGAGGCAGCAGUGGGGAAUAUUGGACAAUGGGCGCAAGCCUGAUCCAGCCAUACCGCGUGGGUGAAGAAGGCCUUCGGGUUGUAAAGCCCUUUUGUUGGGAAAGAAAAGCAGCAGGUUAAUACCCCGCUGUUCUGACGGUACCCAAAGAAUAAGCACCGGCUAACUUCGUG